rnacentral:rRNA from 1 species
GAUGAACGCUGGCGGCGUGCCUAAUACAUGCAAGUCGAGCGAACAGACGAGGAGCUUGCUCCUCUGACGUUAGCGGCGGACGGGUGAGUAACACGUGGAUAACCUACCUAUAAGACUGGGAUAACUUCGGGAAACCGGAGCUAAUACCGGAUAAUAUAUUGAACCGCAUGGUUCAAUAGUGAAAGACGGUUUUGCUGUCACUUAUAGAUGGAUCCGCGCCGCAUUAGCUAGUUGGUAAGGUAACGGCUUACCAAGGCAACGAUGCGUAGCCGACCUGAGAGGGUGAUCGGCCACACGUGAACUGAGACACGGUCCAGACUCCUACGGGAGGCAGCAGUAGGGAAUCUUCCGCAAUGGGCGAAAGCCUGACGGAGCAACGCCGCGUGAGUGAUGAAGGGCUUCGGAUCGUAAAACUCUGUUAUUAGGGAAGAACAAAUGUGUAAGUAACUAUGCACGUCUUGACGGUACCUAAUCAGAAAGCCACGGCUAACUACGUG